AAGCGAAACCAUAUCGGUGCAAUCACCGAUAUGGUCUGCCGGACAGGGUUGUCCGGUACUGAUGAGCAGCCGAGG
rnacentral:hammerhead_ribozyme from 1 species